CUUUUAGUAUAAGUAUGUCCCAUGCAAUACUGGGGACAUACUUAUACUGAAA
rfam:Nomascus leucogenys chromosome X, whole genome shotgun sequence.